UACGGAAGGGGCGAGCGUUGUUCGGAAUCAUUGGGCGUAAAGGGCGCGUAGGUGGUUCUGUGUGUCUACUGUGAAAGCGUACAGCUCAACUGUAUUGUGUCGGUAGAAACUGCAGGACUUGAGGCUGGGAGGGGCUGGUGGAAUUCCCUGUGUAGCGGUGAAAUGCGUAGAGAUGGGGGAGAACACUCGUGGCGAAGGCGGCCAGCUAGACCAGUUCUGACACUGAGGCGCGACAGCGUGGGGAGCAAACAGG
rnacentral:rRNA from 1 species